UGGGGAAUAUUGCACAAUGGGCGCAAGCCUGAUGCAGCCAUGCCGCGUGUAUGAAGAAGGCCUUCUGGUUGUAAAGUACUUUCAGUCGGGAGGAAGGUGGUAAGGUUAAUAACCUUAUCAAUUGACGUUACCGACAGAAGAAGCACCGGCUAACUCCGUGCCAGCAGCCGCGGUAAUACGGAGGGUGCAAGCGUUAAUCGGAAUUACUGGGCGUAAAGCGCACGCAGGCGGUUGAUUGAGUCAGAUGUGAAAUCCCCGGGCUCAACCUGGGAACUGCAUCUGAUACUGGCAAGCUUGAGUCUCGUAGAGGGGGGUAGAAUUCCAGGUGUAGCGGUGAAAUGCGUAGAGAUCUGGAGGAAUACCGGUGGCGAAGGCGGCCCCCUGGACGAAGACUGACGCUCAGGUGCGAAAGCGUGGGGAGCAAACAGG
rnacentral:rRNA from 1 species